rnacentral:rRNA from 1 species
CGGAGAGUUUGAUCCUGGCUCAGGACGAACGCUGGCGGCGUGCUUAACACAUGCAAGUCGAACGGUGAAGAGGAGCUUGCUCCUUGGAUCAGUGGCGAACGGGUGAGUAACACGUGAGUAACCUGCCCCAAACUCUGGGAUAAGCACUGGAAACGGUGUCUAAUACCGGAUACGAGCUUCAGCCGCAUGGCUAGGAGUUGGAAAGAAUUUCGGUUUGGGAUGGACUCGCGGCCUAUCAGCUAGUUGGUGAGGUAAUGGCUCACCAAGGCGACGACGGGUAGCCGGCCUGAGAGGGUGACCGGCCACACUGGGACUGAGACACGGCCCAGACUCCUACGGGAGGCAGCAGUGGGGAAUAUUGCACAAUGGGCGCAAGCCUGAUGCAGCAACGCCGCGUGAGGGACGACGGCCUUCGGGUUGUAAACCUCUUUUAGUAGGGAAGAAGCGAAAGUGACGGUACCUGCAGAAAAAGCACCGGCUAACUACGUGCCAGCAGCCGCGGUAAUACGUAGGGUGCAAGCGUUGUCCGGAAUUAUUGGGCGUAAAGAGCUCGUAGGCGGUUUGUCGCGUCUGCUGUGAAAACCCGAGGCUCAACCUCGGGCCUGCAGUGGGUACGGGCAGACU